rnacentral:rRNA from 1 species
CAGCCAUGCCGCGUGUGUGAAGAAGGCCCUCGGGUUGUAAAGAGCGAGGAAGAACGCCUAGCGGUUAAUACCCGCUAGGAAAGACAUCACUCGCAGAAGAAGCACCGGCUAACUCCGUGCCAGCAGCCGCGGUAAUACGGAGGGUGCAAGCGUUAAUCGGAAUUACUGGGCGUAAAGCGCGCGUAGGUGGCUUGAUAAGCCGGUUGUGAAAGCCCCGGGCUCAACCUGGGAACGGCAUCCGGAACUGUCAAGCUAGAGUGCAGGAGAGGAAGGUAGAAUUCCCGGUGUAGCGGUGAAAUGCGUAGAGAUCGGGAGGAAUACCAGUGGCGAAGGCGGCCUUCUGGACUGACACUGACACUGAGGUGCGAAAGCGUGGGUAGCAAACAGGAUUAGAUACCCUGGUAGUCCACGCCGUAAACGAUGUCGACCAGCCUUGGGUGCCUAGCGCACUUUGUGGCGAAGUUAACGCGAUAAGUCGACCGCCUGGG